rnacentral:rRNA from 1 species
CUUGGUGACUAUGGCAAAGCGCCUAAACCCGAUCCCAUCCCGAACUCGGCCGUUAAACGCUUUUGCGCCAAUGGUACUGCAUCUUAAGGUGUGGGAGAGUAGGUCGUUGCCAGGU